UCCGGAGGGGGCUAGCGUUGUUCGGAAUUACUGGGCGUAAAGCGCACGUAGGCGGAUGUUUAAGUCGGGGGUGAAAUCCCGGGGCUCAACCCCGGAAUGGCCUUCGAUACUGGACGUCUGGAGGUCGGGAGAGGCGAGUGGAAUUCCGAGUGUAGAGGUGAAAUUCGUAGAUAUUCGGAGGAACACCAGUGGCGAAGGCGGCUCGCUGGCCCGAUACUGACGCUGAGGUGCGAAAGCGUGGGGAGCAAACAGG
rnacentral:rRNA from 1 species